GAACUGUCAGCAGGACAAGCGGCUCUCCAUCUGGGAAAAAAAACAUUCACAAUUUUCAUCAGACUUCCCACGGUGUCCAUGACUACAAAACGCCCAAAAUUCCUGCACUAGCUUUUUGGGCCAGAUGCUCUGGCCUCCACUGGUCGUCUUUUAGAGCACUUCUGUGAUCACUCUGUCAUUUACAUCUUCAGGGUAGAGACACUUUUGUCUUAGAUCCUAACCCUGGAACCUUGCAUGGAGCCCACUGCAUUUGUGGGAUGGAGACAAGAUCUGCAGAGUGAAGUGUCCUGGCCUAUGCAGCUCCUCUUUCAUCCUGCUGCACUCAGUGGGGACCCUGCAGGUGACGUCUGAGAAGCACUGUGACCUGUGUUUACUAGAGCGCUCCCACAGCCCCAUGCAAAGGUUAAUAAAACCACAGAAAGACCUGCCUGGAUGUCUGCAAGCAUAUGGAUGACCAAAAGGUCACUUAAAUAGUUUUGAGUACUUACUUCUCUAAAAUCAAAUCCAUCUCCUUGGUGUCCUUUUUAUUUUUUAAAAUAAUUCAAUGCCCUGAAAAAUUUUAGUACUUUUUCCAUUAACUCCUUUGGAAACUAAAUUGAGUUGCAGCCUAUACACUGAAAGAAAAAUUAUCUCAAAGAGGAUAUGAGAGUAGUAAUGGGGAAAAAAUUGGCACCAAAAUCUUUUAAAGGUAUUCUAACCCAAGCUGUUUCAAUUUUAUGAUUUAGUAAAUUUACCUUUAUCAGAGUGGCCUAAAAUAAUAAAUUCACGUUUGUUGACUAUAUAAUUUAUAAUAAAGGGGUAGUGUAUAGGUUUGUAAGUGAGCAAAAGUGAGGUCAUCUUGCUAUGCUAAAUGGCCCCAGCCCCUCCUCUGUGUGACCACUCGAUGCUCUGCACUUACGCUAAAACAUUCACAUGCUCUCUUGACUUAUGGCCUCUGCUUACGUAUGUACCACCCCCACCCAAUAGCUUGAUAAAUUAAAACUUUGUUCUAUGAGUUUCUCUCCAGGAAUAGGCUAACCGCAGGUGGGAAACACACCUACAAGGAAUCCAUCACAGCUAACAGAAGGCAACAAUGUGAUGCCUGAAGCCCGUCAUCCCUGGAGACCAACAUCCCUGGACCCCCUCCUCACUGCCCAUUUUCCCUACAUGACUGUCUCAAGAUUCUAUAAUCUUUGAAGAUGUUUUUUUGAGACACUGGUCUGCCAUCUUCUCCAUUAUGCUAGCUAAUUGAAUUAAAACCUGCCUUCUUGAU